rnacentral:pre_miRNA from 1 species
GCGGGGGUGGGGGUGUCCCUCAGCCUGAAUUGUGAGAGGGCACAGGCCAGGCCAAGGGACCCCACCGGUGCACG